CCUACGGGCGACAGCAGUGAGGAAUAUUGGUCAAUGGACGAGAGUCUGAACCAGCCAAGUAGCGUGAAGGAUGACUGCCCUAUGGGUUGUAAACUUCUUUUAUAUGGGAAUAAAAUGUUCCACGUGUGGGAUUUUGUAUGUACCAUAUGAAUAAGGAACGGCCAACUCCGCGCCAGCAGCCGCGGUAAUACGGAGGGUCCGAGCGUUAUCCGGAUUUAUUGGGUUUAAAGGGAGCGUAGGUGGAUUGUUAAGUCAGUUGUGAAAGUUUGCGGCUCAACCGUAAAAUUGCAGUUGAAACUGGCAGUCUUGAGUACAGUAGAGGUGGGCGGAAUUCGUGGUGUAGCGGUGAAAUGCUUAGAUAUCACGAAGAACUCCGAUUGCGAAGGCAGUUCACUGGACUGCAACUGACACUGAGGCUCGAAAGUGUGGGUAUCAAACAGGAUUAGAUACCCGGGUAGUC
rnacentral:rRNA from 1 species